CUGCCCCGGGGAUGGUGGAGCAGCACACCAGGGAGCAGCUCUUUGAAGGGUAGAAUGAAAGCACAUCCCCAUGUCUUGGAGCUAAGAGAAGGAAAAAGAUAUUUACAUAAGAUGAGACGCCAAUACAUCGGAAAGUUCAACGUGCUUAGAAAUAGACAGUGGCUAGGACAAUGAUGAAGGAACCACAUUGCUGCAACAGAUUGCGUCUUUCAUGUCUGAUUUUCAUUUAAUUCCUGAAGAAGGCAGAGGCUCAGUGGAAUGACUCACCCACACCCUCUUCCUUCAGGAACACGCCUGCCGACCCGACGGACGCCAGAACCUGGAACUGCCCCUAUGUGUUCCCCUCCUGAACUGAUCGUUUUUCAUACGGCGUUUUUUGACUAGAAGCCAAGUUCAUCCGAGGCUCAGCCACGAAGCAGGGUUUCAAACCAGGUGAGGAGGUAAAAGAUGGACUUUUCCAGCCUGUUCGGCCCGUGAUUCAUCCGUCAUCGUCUCUGUGCCCGGAGAGAACACCAAAGCCAAAAUGAACAUGUGCCUUGUACUAAGAAAUCCCAGGAUUGUCACAACUUGUGCCAGCUGCUGAGGUUACGACACCUGUGCCAGCAUUGCCAGCUCUGCCCACUGUCAUCUGUUCCAACUGUUCCAUCUGCACUGUUUGUACCAAUUCUCCCAUUUCUGCAUCUGUACCUUCUGCAGAAACGUUUCCAACAAUGCCAGCUGUGUCAUUGGUGCCAAAUAUGCCAGAUGUUCUAUUUGUCCACCCUGGGCCAAAUCAAUGCAGUUUUGUGCUCAUUAGUUUUAGCUGGUAGAUUCUAUUUUACAAUUUUUUGAGAUGUAUUUAGAUUGAAUCCAGGCAAAAAUCCCCAUUGCAACACUUUGACGUCUCCCUACCCAUCUUUUUGGCCACCCCAACUUUCUUGAACAGCGUGAAGUUGGUCCAUGUCAUCUUGACCGGAUGAAAGCCGUGCUCUCCCACCAACGCAGCGCUAAUUGUGGUAGGCUGUUGCCUGCAACGUGAAACUCUAUCGAAGAAAACAUUGCAGAAGCCCCCAAACACAACAAUAAAUUGGCAAGGAGCCCUAACACUGAAUCUCCAAACAUUAAACCAGAUUCUUUCCUCUCCGAUUGUUCUUGGAGAUGGAGGAUGAGCUCAGAGUCUGUCCUUUGAAAACCGAUGCUCUUCCAGGAAUGUGAGGUCCAGAGGACAGCAUCUACCUCCUGUUUAUCCAGCUUGGAUCGCUUAACCACUGCUUCCCAAUGACGAAAGUCGCAAGUAUUCACUGGUCCUUCAAAGCAUUAAUAAUAGAGUUCUUGAUAGCAAAUAAAAUGGCUUGUGAUCACGCCCAAAGAUCUGUACUCGGUCUACACACGUGAUGAGGUCCAGUGAGGAAAUGUCUCAACAGCAUUAUGAGGUUUCAAAAUCUACACAGAAGCACUGAGCUUCCACAGAGAACUAUCAGAUUACCAUAUGCAAAUGACUUUGUUUAGGUUUUAGGCUAAAAAUGCUGGUGACAUCAUUUCUUCCCAGACAAGGAUGUGUAUGCUGAGGCUCUAGUCUCACCAGUCCUAAGUAGGCCAAUAUUCCCAUACAGCUCGAAUAUCCUCCGCUCAAUCACACUUUUGCCUUCUAGGGUAAGUGAUUGUUUCUCACUGUCCCAAUUCCUUAGCUCCAACACCCAAAAUUUAGUUUUUUCUGAUCUUUUCAGCCCUUGCCUUUCCAUAACUUUCUCUGAACAUGGAGAGGAGACUAGAUAAAUAUCGAUUGCCUAAAAUGGUAACCCUCUCUCAAACUAUCCCCAGUUCCUGACAUAAGGGAUCGGUCUGAGUCUGCUGACCCAACUUCUAGAAAUGCCACAGACUUUUAAAAUUCUAAUUCUCUACGUUCCAAGAUGCCAAGAGGGAACAUCCUUAAUUAGGAUUAAAAUAGUGUGAUGACUCGUCGGGAGUGCACCCUGUACCUUCUCAGAACAUUUUAAUUAAUAAAACUUCU